rnacentral:rRNA from 1 species
GUUUGAUCCUGGCUCAGAACGAACGCUGGCGGCAGGCUUAACACAUGCAAGUCGAACGCUCACUUCGGUGAGAGUGGCAGACGGGUGAGUAACGCGUGGGAAUAUACCUAUCAGUACGGAACAACAGUUGGAAACGACUGCUAAUACCGUAUACGCCCUUCGGGGGAAAGAUUCAUCGCCGAUAGAUUAGCCCGCGUUAGAUUAGCUAGUUGGUGGGGUAAAGGCCUACCAAGGCGACGAUCUAUAGCUGGUCUGAGAGGAUGAUCAGCCACACUGGGACCGAGACACGGACCAGACUCCUACGGGAGGCAGCAGUGAGGAAUAUUGGGCAAUGGAGGCAACUCUGACCCAGCCAUGCCGCGUGCAGGAAGGCUGCCCUAUGGGUUGUAAACUGCUUUUAUACAGGAAGAAACAUCUCUACGUGUAGAGACUUGACGGUACUGUAAGAAUAAGGAUCGGCUAACUCCGUGCCAGCAGCCGCGGUAAUAAGGGCGAAU